rnacentral:rRNA from 1 species
GAUGAACGCUGGCGGCGUGCCUAAUACAUGCAAGUCGAACGCAUUGAGAGAAGUGCUCGCACUUUUCAAUUUGAGUGGCGAACGGGUGAGUAACACGUGGGCAACCUACCUGAUAGCGGGGGAUAACGAGUGGAAACAUUCGCUAAUACCGCAUGACAUUAGAGACGGCAUCUUCUUAAUUUACAAGGCGCUUUCAAGCGUCACUAUCAGAUGAGCCAGCGGUGCAUUAGUUAGUUGGUGGGGUGAAGGCCUACCAAGACGAUGAUGCCUAGCCGAGUGGAGAGGCUGAUCGGCCACAUUGGGACUGAGACACGGCCCAAACUACUACGGGAGGCUGCAGUAGGGAAUCUUCCACAAUGGACGAAAGUCUGAUGGAGCAACGCCGCGUGUGUGAUGAAGGCUUUCGGGUCUUAAAGCACUGUUGUAUGGGAAGAAAUGCUAGGCUAGGAAAUGAGCCUAGUUUGACGGUACCAUACCAGAAAGGGACGGCUAAAUACGUGCCAGCAGCCGCCGUAA